GGGCAUGUGGUGUAGUUGGUUAUCACGCUCGCUUAGCAUCGACUGUGGUUGCGAGAGGGGUCCGGUUCGAUCCCGGACAUGUCCA